GGGGGCUAGCGUUGCUCGGAAUUACUGGGCGUAAAGGGCGCGUAGGCGGAUCGUUAAGUCAGAGGUGAAAUCCCGGAGCUCAACUUCGGAACUGCCUUUGAUACUGGCGAUCUUGAGUGUGAGAGAGGUAUGUGGAACUCCGAGUGUAGAGGUGAAAUUCGUAGAUAUUCGGAAGAACACCAGUGGCGAAGGCGACAUACUGGCUCAUUACUGACGCUGAGGCGCGAAAGCGUGGGGAGCAAACAGGA
rnacentral:rRNA from 1 species